GAUGAACGCUGGCGGCGUGCCUAAUACAUGCAAGUCGAGCGAACGGACGAGAAGCUUGCUUCUCUGAUGUUAGCGGCGGACGGGUGAGUAACACGUGGAUAACCUACCUAUAAGACUGGGAUAACUUCGGGAAACCGGAGCUAAUACCGGAUAAUAUUUUGAACCGCAUGGUUCAAAAGUGAAAGACGGUCUUGCUGUCACUUAUAGAUGGAUCCGCGCUGCAUUAGCUAGUUGGUACGGUAACGGCUUACCAAGGCAACGAUGCAUAGCCGACCUGAGAGGGUGAUCGGCCAGACUGGAACUGAGACACGGUCCAGACUCCUACGGGAGGCAGCAGUAGGGAAUCUUCCGCAAUGGGCGAAAGCCUGACGGAGCAACGCCGCGUGAGUGAUGAAGGUCUUCGGAUCGUAAAACUCUGUUAUUAGGGAAGAACAUAUGUGUAAGUAACUGUGCACAUCUUGACGGUACCUAAUCAGAAAGCCACGGCUAACUACGUG
rnacentral:rRNA from 1 species